CCUACGGGAGGCAGCAGUGAGGAAUAUUGGUCAAUGGACGAGAGUCUGAACCAGCCAAGUAGCGUGAAGGAUGACUGCCCUAUGGGUUGUAAACUUCUUUUAUAUGGGAAUAAAACGUUCCACGUGUGGGAUUUUGUAUGUACCAUAUGAAUAAGGAUCGGCUAACUCCGUGCCAGCAGCCGCGGUAAUACGGAGGAUCCGAGCGUUAUCCGGAUUUAUUGGGUUUAAAGGGAGCGUAGGUGGAUUGUUAAGUCAGUUGUGAAAGUUUGCGGCUCAACCGUAAAAUUGCAGUUGAAACUGGCAGUCUGGAGUACAGUAGAGGUGGGCGGAAUUCGUGGUGUAGCGGUGAAAUGCUUAGAUAUCACGAAGAACUCCGAUUGCGAAGGCAGCUCACUGGACUGCAACUGACACUGAGGCUCGAAAGUGUGGGUAUCAAACAGGAUUAGAUACCCGAGUAGUC
rnacentral:rRNA from 1 species